UCUGUAGUUCAGUCGGUAGAACGGCGGACUGUUAAUCCGUAUGUCACUGGUUCGAGUCCAGUCCGA
rnacentral:tRNA from 1 species